rnacentral:rRNA from 1 species
AUUGAACGCUGGCGGCAUGCCUUACACAUGCAAGUCGAACGGCAGCACGGACUUCGGUCUGGUGGCGAGUGGCGAACGGGUGAGUAAUGUAUCGGAACGUACCUUUCAGUGGGGGAUAACGUAGCGAAAGUUACGCUAAUACCGCAUAUUCUGUGAGCAGGAAAGCAGGGGAUCGCAAGACCUUGCGCUGAUUGAGCGGCCGAUAUCAGAUUAGCUAGUUGGUGGGGUAAAGGCCUACCAAGGCUACGAUCUGUAGCGGGUCUGAGAGGAUGAUCCGCCACACUGGAACUGAGACACGGUCCAGACUCCUACGGGAGGCAGCAGUGGGGAAUUUUGGACAAUGGGGGCAACCCUGAUCCAGCCAUGCCGCGUGAGUGAAGAAGGCCUUCGGGUUGUAAAGCUCUUUCGGCCGGGAAGAAAUCGCAUAGGUUAAUACCCUGUGUGGAUGACGGUACCGGAAUAAGAAGCACCGGCUAACUACGUGCCAGCAGCCGCGGUAAUACGUAGGGUGCGAGCGUUAAUCGGAAUUACUGGGCGUAAAGCGUGCGCAGGCGGUUUCGUAAGACAGAGGUGAAAUCCCUGGGCUCAACCUGGGAACUGCCUUUGUGACUGCGAAGCUAGAGUACGGCAGAGGGGGGUGGAAUUCCACGUGUAGCAGUGAAAUGCGUAGAGAUGUGGAGGAACACCGAUGGCGAAGGCAGCCCCCUGGGCCGAUACUGACGCUCAUGCACGAAAGCGUGGGUAGCAAACAGGAUUAGAUACCCUGGUAGUCCACGCCCUAAACGAUGUCAACUAGGUGUUGGGUGGGUAAAACCAUUUAGUACCGUAGCUAACGCGUGAAGCUGACCGCCUGGGGAGUACGGCCGCAAGGUUAAAACUCAAAGGAAUUGACGGGGACCCGCACAAGCGGUGGAUGAUGUGGAUUAAUUCGAUGCAACGCGAAAAACCUUACCUACCCUUGACAUGUUCAGAAUCCCGGAGAGAUUUGGGAGUGCCCGAAAGGGAGCUGGAACACAGGUGCUGCAUGGCUGUCGUCAGCUCGUGUCGUGAGAUGUUGGGUUAAGUCCCGCAACGAGCGCAACCCUUGUCGUUAAUUGCCAUCAUUUAGUUGGGCACUUUAACGAGACUGCCGGUGACAAACCGGAGGAAGGUGGGGAUGACGUCAAGUCCUCAUGGCCCUUAUGGGUAGGGCUUCACACGUCAUACAAUGGUCGGUACAGAGGGUUGCCAAGCCGCGAGGUGGAGCCAAUCCCAGAAAGCCGAUCGUAGUCCGGAUUGCAGGCUGCAACUCGCCUGCGUGAAGUCGGAAUCGCUAGUAAUCGCGGAUCAGCAUGUCGCGGUGAAUACGUUCCCGGGUCUUGUACACACCGCCCGUCACACCAUGGGAGCGGGUUCCGCCAGAAGUAGGUAGCCUAACCGCAAGGGGGGCGCUUACCACGGCGGGGUUCGUGACUGGGGUGAAGUCGUAACAAGGUAGCCGUAGGGGAACC